AAGGGGAAAGUAUAACCACGAACACAAUCGGCAAAGUAUACUCAACAAAAACAACAGUAUAAUUUUAUUCAUUUAUCAAAACCAAUAACAAUUUUCCUAUCACUUACAAUUUGUCGUAUAAAUCCAAAGUAUCAAUACAUCCAUCACAUACAACUCUACCUUAUCAUUGCAAAGUGAUAAAGUUACGGAAUUAUAUCACAGAUAUCGCCUGUGUCCAUAAAAAGCUGUAAUAUUUAUUUCGAUCAUACAAUCCAUUUCAAAUACAUAUCCUAUCAAGUCAGGCUAUCCUAAAUCUCCGUCAAUCUCUAAUAAUAAUUUCGAAUAAACAAUUACAUUGUUCUAAAAAGUUAGGUUAGGUUAAAUUUACAAAACUCAAAAAAUAUACUAUAACCACGGGCUGUUCGUAACAGCUGUAAUACGUGUAAUGUGUCAUUAACGAUAAGUUUCUCCAGACGAUAGUCGCAAGAAUCAUUGAUUAUUUCAUCAUCAGUGCGCCGUAUAAAAGUUGUCAUCAAUGCAGGUGUUGGUCGAAACACUAGUGAACCAGUGCAGAAGAUUCUAUAAGAUAGGAACUUUAACAAUGUCACGAUCUCUGUCGCAACGGAAGUGUCUGAGUAACGCUUUAACAGAAUCCGUGCCCUUUUCCAGGGACUUCUUAUUUCGUCAGUAUUUUGAUCCAACAUCCAGUACCUACACGUAUCUAUUGGCUGAUGUAAAACAACAGGAAGCGAUCCUGAUCGAUCCUGUGAUAGAUUGGGUUGAGCGUGAUUCUAAAAUCAUCCAGGAAUUAGGAUUGCGUCUUAAGUAUGCCCUGAACACCCAUAUGCACGCGGACCACAUCACCGGUACUGGAAGGCUCAAAUUACUACUACCAGGCUGUCAAUCGAUGAUAUCGCGAACCAGUGGUGCUCAGGCUGACGUCCUUCUCGAGCCGGACGAUCGGAUUAAUUUUGGACGACAUCUUCUGGAGGUUCUACCCACUCCUGGACAUACGGAAGGUUGCGUGACGUACGUCUGUCGCGAACAGGGUGUAGCUUUCACUGGCGAUGCUCUAUUGAUACGAGGUUGCGGGAGGACCGAUUUUCAGGGUGGUUCGCCUGAGACUCUUUACAACUCCGUUCACAGCCAGAUAUUCACUCUGCCCGAGAAUUACAGGCUCUAUCCGGCCCACGAUUACAGUGGAAGAACCGUGACUACAGUGGCCGAGGAGAAGCUUCUGAAUCCACGAUUAACCAGGUCCUUGGAUGACUUUGUUAACAUCAUGAAGAACCUGAACCUGGCCUAUCCGAAGAUGAUAGACAAAGCCGUGCCGGCCAACAAAGUUUGCGGCCUUUACGGAGUCUGCGAGGAGAAGGAGCAGUGAGGAAUGGAAGAUUUUUCGUAAUGAUGAAAAACAAAGCAUCUGGAGGAUUGAGUGUGGACUCGGAAAAUCAUACUUCUAUCACCCUUCUCAGGGAAAUAAAGGUGUGACAGGAAUGAACGGAGUCACGUUGUAACACGGACUUUUGCAAUGUAACCAGCGGAAUACAAAACGGCACUACCCGUAAAAGUAUUUAUGUGGUUGGUAAUAAAAAUUGUAUCUCUUCGCACGGGCUACUGACAUCCAUCCCAGUUGGGAAAUUCGAUCUUCUCGGUAGAAUUGAUUUUACGCAACCGGGACCAGCCUCGACAUCUUGUGUACUGGCACUCUCGCUAAGUGGAACUGCGGUAUGAAUAAGUUAGAAAAUUCAAUUUUCAGUACAUCCAUUCCUACCCUCCGCGGGCCGUAAUCACGUUGUCGAAACGGGCUCUGUACUUCGUCGAAGCUCAGGGAGAAGAGACCCCAUGGUGGUGCUGCUGGGUAGGUUCCUACUGCAUAGCUGAGGGUUGAAAUCGAUACCGUUUCCAGGGUAACCGUGGGUACGGUGCCCGACACAUGAGCGAAGCACGGGCCAAGGCUACCUACUCAUGCAUUUUCAUGCCUCUGCCAAAAAAGGUGGCUUAUUCGCUAAAUGUCAAAGAAAAGACGAUACAGAGCGAAGGAGAAAUAAUAAAAGGGAAAUGAGAAACAGAAGAAACAAUUGGCGAAACACGACCUCCAUUCCCUGUCAAAGUGAACGCGACAAACUCGGAAAACGAAUAUCUUCACAGGCCGGCAAUCCUGAUGAGAUUCAACGGGCUGAGGGCAUUUAAACUGUUACAGAGAAAAAGUGACUGAGAAAACAUUUUAUCAGUAAAUCCUCGUGUAUUUGACAACCGCUAAUUAGAGGAAAAGCAAAUUGGCAAAGAACUUGAGGGAGCAAGAACUUGGUAGAAAAAAAUAUAAUCUACCACUUUGGAAAAUUUAAGACUUUCCGUCGAGCUAAGAGAUAUUUUUGGAGGAUGAUCGAUAGUCGUUCCACCAAGGGGUACCUUUGUCAGAGAACAUCUGCGAAAACAGAGUAUUCCAUAAUCACUGUGCAUCGACGUUUUUCUUCUUGAUGAUUCUCCUGCCAAUCGAUCCUUUCCUGUUGUGUUCCUCCUUUAUUUUUUUCCUGCCAGAUUCCCUUCGUCCUCCACUUGGAGUCUCAAACUUUCAGCGAGCACCAGCGGUUCUGCGAUGACGUCUUUAAAUAAAUUGAGCACGUUCUCCCUUGUUACCACUGUGUGGGGUUAUAACGAUGCAAAAAUUCAAAUGCACAAACGUCCCUCUGGAUUUUCCAACUGUAACCUCUACUAGACAGUUACGCUGUCCAAUUGUCCUUACUGUUCACACUUGUUCUCAACAAUGUGUUGUAUACAUCUGUCGCUGUCACGUGGCAAGUACAAUUACACGUCGUAUCUCAGUACUUUGAAUUUCUGUUAAAAACGUAAAAAAAAAGGUUUUUUCUCUGAUCUAAAUUCUAAGGUAAAUAUGGACGCAGCAACGUAGAUACAACGCUUCACGCAGCUUCUGAAAUUCCAUCGGUGCCCCUUAAACAUAACGUUCGGCCCAAGUAUCUACAGGUUGUUGAUUUUACCGUGGGUGGUCCUCUGGCUUAGGAAGAUUCGAGACUCCGGUGCAUUCUAGGCACUCUGGUCGCCUCUCAUCGAUUCAUAGGGGUUUGUCUCGCCACCUAGUCAUUCGUUGGAGUUUGACAAUCGAAAACCGAUAGCCAGGAGGAAGUUACAUUUCCUACGGGAAUGAAAUUUACUAUGAAAUUCCAAAACGAACGACAGUUGACACGUACAGGGAUCGUCAUUUUGUACUGUAUGUUGGAUGAGUAAACAAUUGUGCAUUAAAGUGGUAGUCGUACCGAAG